GGAAGAAUCCAUUCUUGCACUGGGAAUUUUGUAAGAUUCAUUUCUGGGUGUCAUUAAGUGUCAUUAGUAGAAUUGACGUUUAAACAAAAGUCUUCCAUUUUUGCACAUGGGUGAUUUUGGAAUAGUCUAUUGUUGCAUGGGGAGGGAGAUGGCUGAAAUAUGCUGUAUUUGCUCUCAAGCAAAUGUUGGCUUUUCUAGUUGUAUAUAUAUAUAUAUUCACGUCGAAUAGUGAUUAAUACCAUCAGAUAUGAACUAUUUAGAAGUCACUUGUAUAAAGCAUACGGAAAUCAUACUAAGCACAUACAAUGUACUAUAUAUGUAUAUCUAGAAUAAGAUAAACGCUUUGUGAAAACAAGCGCGUCAUUCACAUAUUACAGAUACUGAAAAUAAUUGUCGUCAAAUUUGUAUAUCAUCGUGUAACACUAUCUACGUAAACUCUAGAUUGAUUUUUACUUGUUUUACAGACCAAGGGGGCAAUACGGAGUGGACGCCUUGUAUGAUCCGCACUGCAAUGGACCAGUGCCCUCUAUCGGACUGGAGCUGUACUUCAACAGGACCUGAGGCAACCAUUAGAACAACAAGGAUGAUCAAAAAGCUUUCUAAUGAAAGUGUGCCAGCCCCAACAUCAUAACAGCAAAAUGUUUAUAGAUUGCACUAUGGAAAAUUGUAUUUCAUAAUCACAGUUUGUGUGAAGGUGCUGAAAGCUAGAAAUGUCCAUUUUGAUAAAUUGUUUGGGUGUAAAAUAAGACAUUUCAUUUCAGACUAUUCAUCAUCAUCACCAUAUACAAUACAAAAUGAUUAUGUAAUACUAAGUGUUAAUGCACAUUUGCGAAAUGUGUUUACCUAUCAAGUUUGUACAGACCACAUUAGAUAAAAUGUUACAGAUAUUGAUAUUCAUACGAGAUCAGGUAUAGCAAAACAUUCUGCUGUUCUUAAUUGGCUAGGGGCGUCUCGGUCAUAGGAGAAAUGUGUUGUUCCGACUAGAAGACAACUGCAAAAUAGAGGUAUAG